ACAGCCUGCCGCUUCUCCAGGAGUGACCCCGGUCCUCCUGUAGCGGGGCGCCGAGGGUGCCAGCCACCCGCAGCGGCCUUGGUGCGGUCGACUGAGAGCCCAGUGGCGCAGUCGCUAGUGUACAGCGUAGAUGCCAUGCUUACCAGCACAGAACUUCUGGUGACUCUGGGGGGAACCUUGGUAAGUCCUGGAGGCCCUGGGAUCAAGUCCCAGCUUCCUAUGGCAGGCCGAGCCUGAGAGCAGGACUAUGGGGAUUUCCCAGCAACUACCAAGAGCUUUUCUCAGGGAAUUUUUCUGCACUCCUACUCAAGGCAUCAGCCACCUGAAAUGCCUGGAUGGUGAAAGAAAAUGGGUCCAGGGAGAAGAUUGACUCCAAGACUGGAUUAUCUCCAAUAUUCCAGGGCCUUCUUCUUAAUCUCUGUCCUCCUCAUACUAAUUGGUCUUGGCUGGCUCUUAAGCUCUUGCCUCCCUAGAAGAGGAAGCAGGACCACCAACUUGGAUCUGAAGAUAUCCAUGCUCAGCUUCCUCUCAGGUUCACUGGCACACCAGGGAUGCCAUGGAGUCAGAUCUCCUCUGGCCCUAUUAUCUUAAUUGGUGGAGUGACUUAUUAUACAUCUUUUCUGGGAUCAUCUCCUUCCUCAAUUACUUAACUUUCAGAUUUCUUCCCCUUGAUCAAAAUGUCACUGUGAUCCCCACAGAGAAGUCAAGGCUAGGAAUUGGUCCAGUGACUACAGUAUCAUCUGCUGAAAAUGAAGGGACAAGGUCUGAGAUAGGACCUUCAAGUGAUGGAGAGGAAAAACUACCAAAUGCAGAACUACCAAACACAGAAAUGUGAUGGUGAUUAGAAAAUUCAACUACUGUCUGCCUUGAAGAUGGGAGAGAAGCUAACUGAGUUGGAAACGAUUGUGCAGAUUAUUUUAAAAACUCUCCUAAUAUCAUGUCCAUAUUACUGAAGGAGACAGCAUUAAAGCUGAUGAAGUGUC